GAUGAAGAACGUAGCGAAAUGCGAUAAGUAAUGUGAAUUGCAGAAUUCAGUGAAUCAUCGAAUCUUUGAACGCACAUUGCGCCCGUCAGUAUUCUGACGGGCAUGCCUGUCCGAGCGUCAUUUCAACCCUCAAGCGCAGCUUGGUGUUGGUGGAUUGCGUGCCCUCGCGGCGCUGCAACCGCCCAAAUACAGUGGCGGUCCCGCUGCGGCUCCCUUUGCGUAGUAACUCACCUCGCACUGGACCGGGCGGCGGCCUGCCGUAAAACCCCAACUCACGAAAUGUUGACCUCGGAUCAGGUAGGAAUACCCGCUGAACUUAAGCAUAUCAAUAAGCGGAGGA
rnacentral:misc_RNA from 1 species